rnacentral:rRNA from 1 species
UACGUAGGGUGCGAGCGUUGUCCGGAAUUAUUGGGCGUAAAGGGCUCGUAGGCGGUUUGUCACGUCGGGAGUGAAAACUCAGGGCUUAACCCUGAGCCUGCUUCCGAUACGGGGCAGACUAGAGGUAUGCAGGGGAGAACGGAAUUCCUGGUGUAGCGGUGAAAUGCGCAGAUAUCAGGAGGAACACCGGUGGCGAAGGCGGUUCUCUGGGCAUUACCUGACGCUGAGGAGCGAAAGUGUGGGGAGCGAACAGG